rnacentral:rRNA from 1 species
GAAACCGGCGGUGUGCCUAUACAUGCAGUCGAACGCGUUGGCCCAAUUGAUUGAUGGUGCUUGCACCUGAUUGAUUUUGGUCGCCAACGAGUGGCGGACGGGUGAGUAACACGUAGGUAACCUGCCCAGAAGCGGGGGACAACAUUUGGAAACAGAUGCUAAUACCGCAUAACAGCGUUGUUCGCAUGAACAACGCUUAAAAGAUGGCUUCUCGCUAUCACUUCUGGAUGGACCUGCGGUGCAUUAGCUUGUUGGUGGGGUAAUGGCCUACCAAGGCGAUGAUGCAUAGCCGAGUUGAGAGACUGAUCGGCCACAAUGGGACUGAGACACGGCCCAUACUCCUACGGGAGGCAGCAGUAGGGAAUCUUCCACAAUGGGCGCAAGCCUGAUGGAGCAACACCGCGUGAGUGAAGAAGGGUUUCGGCUCGUAAAGCUCUGUUGUUAAAGAAGAACACGUAUGAGAGUAACUGUUCAUACGUUGACGGUAUUUAACCAGAAAGUCACGGCUAACUACGUGCCAGCAGCCGCGGUAAUACGUAGGUGGCAAGCGUUAUCCGGAUUUAUUGGGCGUAAAGAGAGUGCAGGCGGUUUUCUAAGUCUGAUGUGAAAGCCUUCGGCUUAACCGGAGAAGUGCAUCGGAAACUGGAUAACUUGAGUGCAGAAGAGGGUAGUGGAACUCCAUGUGUAGCGGUGGAAUGCGUAGAUAUAUGGAAGAACACCAGUGGCGAAGGCGGCUACCUGGUCUGCAACUGACGCUGAGACUCGAAAGCAUGGGUAGCGAACAGGAUUAGAUACCCUGGUAGUCCAUGCCGUAAACGAUGAGUGCUAGGUGUUGGAGGGUUUCCGCCCUUCAGUGCCGGAGCUAACGCAUUAAGCACUCCGCCUGGGGAGUACGACCGCAAGGUUGAAACUCAAAGGAAUUGACGGGGGCCCGCACAAGCGGUGGAGCAUGUGGUUUAAUUCGAAGCUACGCGAAGAACCUUACCAGGUCUUGACAUCUUGCGCCAACCCUAGAGAUAGGGCGUUUCCUUCGGGAACGCAAUGACAGGUGGUGCAUGGUCGUCGUCAGCUCGUGUCGUGAGAUGUUGGGUUAAGUCCCGCAACGAGCGCAACCCUUGUUACUAGUUGCCAGCAUUAAGUUGGGCACUCUAGUGAGACUGCCGGUGACAAACCGGAGGAAGGUGGGGACGACGUCAGAUCAUCAUGCCCCUUAUGACCUGGGCUACACACGUGCUACAAUGGACGGUACAACGAGUCGCGAACUCGCGAGGGCAAGCAAAUCUCUUAAAACCGUUCUCAGUUCGGACUGCAGGCUGCAACUCGCCUGCACGAAGUCGGAAUCGCUAGUAAUCGCGGAUCAGCAUGCCGCGGUGAAUACGUUCCCGGGCCUUGUACACACCGCCCGUCACACCAUGAGAGUUUGUAACACCCAAAGUCGGUGGGGUAACCUUUAGGAGCCAGCCGCCUAAGGGGGAACAAGAAAG